UAAGGGUCCAUAGCUCGGCGGUAGAGCAUUUGAUUGCGGAUCAAGAGGUUAUUGGUUUGAACCCCGUUAUUUUUCUCUUAA